AUGAACGUUACGACUUUAUGUUUUAAAAGCGAUUAUACGACCAGGAGAAGAUCUGACAUCAUUGAGUUCUUCAAGGAUAACACACCUUUUCUGCCGAACGAGGUCAUAAUUGCUGCUGUACUUUGCGUCCCAAGCACCCCCUGCAUUCUUAUCAUGGAUUGCUGUCAUACAAGUUACCAUGUCCUCCCCCAUUGAGACUGAGCUACAAAUUCCCUUUGUUUUAUUUUAAACAUAAAACAUCCGGAGGAGAAUGGCACCUACGAUGGAAUUCAUACAAAUGUAAGGAACAUAUCUAAAGAAACCGUGUAUAAAGCAUUUUAUGUUGCUUGUUUGUGGAAAAUAAUUAAAGGGUUAGUUCAGUCAAAAAUGAAAAAUUCUGUCAUUAAUCACUCACUCUCAUGUUGUUCCAAACCUGUUAGACCUUCGUUCAUCUUCAGAACACAAAUUAAGAUUUUUGAUGGAAUCUGAAAGCUUUCUGACCCUGCAUAUACAGCAAGGGCCCUACCACGAUCAAGGCACAGAAACAUAGUAUAAGGACAUUGUUAAAAUGGUCCAUGUGACAUCAGUGGUUCAACUGUAAUUUUACAAAAAUAUUACUUUUAUUACUUAAGUAAACAAAAUGACAACUUUAUUCAAUGAUUUAUCCUCUCCUGGGAGAGUGCCGCCAUUAACUAGAGUACCACUACGGAUGCGUUUGCAUUAAUUUGCCAAUAAACAAGGUGCAGCGCAUGCAGGGUCUACGUCAACAGCACCACACACAUUCCCCAUGGGUCAGAGAGCUCUCGAAUUUUAUCACAAAUAUCUUAAUUUGUGAUCUGAAGAUAACUGAAUGACUUAACAGAUAUUUUAUAAGCAAUGUUUAAAAUCCUGAACGAGCGUCAAAGGUUCAGAUGAAGGAAUCUACGCUUCUAAGACUCAUGUAUGAACUACUUAUAGAUUCCGUGUAAAUUUUAGUUUUUUUUUUUUUUUUUAAAUCUCAAUUUAGGACUUGGACUAAAAAUGCAGCAAAAGAAAAAGUAGUUUCCUCAAACGGGCACAUAGCAAGAGAUACUAAAUUCACACAAACAUGUCAGUUGUAGAUGCAGAUAAUUUAGCAUGAAUAAGAGGUUAGUAAUCUAACUAGGGUUAGUUCACCCAUAAUAUUAUAUGAAUAAUCUCAUUCCAAUCCUGUUAGACUUUUGUUCAUUUUUGGAACACUAACGAAGACCCUUUUUAAUGAAAUCUGACAGCUGUACUGUAUUGGACGUUGAAAUGGUAGUUGCAUAUGCUGUCAAUUGAGGGACAGAAAGCACAGAUUUCAUUAAAAAUACUCUUCAUUUGUGUUUCAAAGAUGAAUGGAAAUCGUAUGGAUUUGAAAUAAUAUGAAGUUAAAUAACUGAUGACAAAAUUCUUUGUGACCACUAUUUGGUGCAACACCAAUAUUGUAAAAGUACCUGUUCAUGAUUUCUUUUUUCUGCAUGUUGCUGUUUAAACUAAAAAUUGUUCUAUAAUGUUUUAAUGUUAAC
rnacentral:lncRNA from 1 species